GCCGCUCUAGCACAGUCCGGUAGUUGCGCUUCAUUGGUAAUGAAGAGGUCGAGGGUUCGAAUCCCUUGAGUGGCACCA
rnacentral:tRNA from 1 species